rnacentral:rRNA from 1 species
UAGGGAAUCUUCGGCAAUGGGGGCAACCCUGACCGAGCAACGCCGCGUGAGUGAAGAAGGUUUUCGGAUCGUAAAGCUCUGUUGUAAGAGAAGAACGUGUGUGAGAGUGGAAAGUUCACACAGUGACGGUAACUUACCAGAAAGGGACGGCUAACUACGUUCCAC